GACGAACGCUGGCGGCGUGCUUAACACAUGCAAGUCGAACGGUGAAGCGCCUUCCUUUUUGGUGGGUGUGGAUGAGUGGCGAACGGGUGAGUAACACGUGAGUAACCUGCCCCCUUCUUCUGGAUAACCGCAUGAAAGUGUGGCUAAUACGGGAUAUUCUGGGUCUGUCGCAUGAUGGGUCUGGGAAAGAUAUUGUUUCGGUGGGGGAUGGGCUCGCGGCCUAUCAGCUUGUUGGUGGGGUGAUGGCCUACCAAGGCGGUGACGGGUAGCCGGCCUGAGAGGGUGGACGGUCACACUGGGACUGAGACACGGCCCAGACUCCUACGGAGGCAGCAGUGGGGAAUAUUGCACAAUGGGCGCAAGCCUGAUGCAGCGACGCCGCGUGAGGGAUGGAGGCCUUCGGGUUGUGAACCUCUUUCGCCAGUGAAGCAGGCCUGCCUCGUUUGUGGGUGGGUUGACGGUAGCUGGAUAAGAAGCGCCGGCUAACUACGUG
rnacentral:rRNA from 1 species